rnacentral:sRNA from 1 species
GGCCUGUUGCGGGGUGAUGUAGUGGAUGUGGGAGUCCACGCCGCCGGCGGUGAGGAUUCGGUGCUCCCCCGCGAUGACCUCGGUGCCGGGACCGAUGACCAGUUCAGGGUCCACCCCGUCCUGGGUGUUCGGGUUUCCGGCCUUGCCGAUCCCGACGAUCCGGCCGUCCCUGAUGCCGACGUCACCUUUGACGACCCCUGCCACGGCGUCGAGGACGAUGACGCCGGUGAUGACGGUGUCGAGGGCACGGUUGCCGGCACCACCGGUGGAGGUGGCCGUGGGGUCCUGGGCCAUCCCGUCGCG